CCGGCAGCUCCGCCAGCCGCAUGCCCGGAGCGGAGCAGGAGCGGGAGCAGAACGGCACAAGAAAAAAAAUGAAUUCUGAAAGCUCAGCCCUUACCAUGAGUAGCCCUACUGUAAUAAACCAGUGUGCCAGAGGAGGAAUGGAACAAGAAAAAGUUUG